rnacentral:rRNA from 1 species
AUUGAACGCUGGCGGCAGGCCUAACACAUGCAAGUCGAGCGGAUGAAGGGAGCUUGCUCCUGGAUUCAGCGGCGGACGGGGGAGUAAUGCCUAGGAAUCUGCCUGGUAGUGGGGGAUAACGUCCGGAAACGGGCGCUAAUACCGCAUACGUCCUGAGGGAGAAAGUGGGGGAUCUUCGGACCUCACGCUAUCAGAUGAGCCUAGGUCGGAUUAGCUAGUUGGUGGGGUAAAGGCCUACCAAGGCGACGAUCCGUAACUGGUCUGAGAGGAUGAUCAGUCACACUGGAACUGAGACACGGUCCAGACUCCUACGGGAGGCAGCAGUGGGGAAUAUUGGACAAUGGGCGAAAGCCUGAUGCAGCAAUGCCGCGUGAGUGAAGAAGGUCUUCGGAUUGUAAAGCACUUUAAGUUGGGAGGAAGGGCAGUAAGUUAAUACCUUGCUGUUUUGACGGUACCAACAGAAUAAGCACCGGCUAACUUCGUG